rnacentral:rRNA from 1 species
UACGUAGGGGGCAAGCGUUGUCCGGAAUCAUUGGGCGUAAAGCGCGUGUAGGCGGCUCGGUAAGUCCGCUCUGAAAGUCCAAGGCUCAACCUUGGGAUGCGGGUGGAUACUGCCGGGCUCGAGUCCGGAAGAGGCGAGUGGAAUUCCUGGUGUAGCGGUGAAAUGCGCAGAUAUCAGGAGGAACACCAAUGGCGAAGGCAGCUCGCUGGGACGUGACUGACGCUGAGACGCGAAAGCGUGAGGAGUAAACAGG